rnacentral:rRNA from 1 species
GGGUUUCCUCGGUACUGAAGUUAACACAUUAAGUACUCCGCCUGAGUAGUACGUACGCAAGUAUGAAACUUAAAGGAAUUGACGGGAUCCCGCACAAGCGGUGGAUCAUGUUGUUUAAUUCGAAGAUACACGAAAAACCUUACCAGGUCUUGACAUUAUCCUGCGAAGCUAUAGAAAUAUAGGGGAGGUUAUCAGGAUAACAGGUGGUGCAUGGUUGUCGUCAGCUCGUGUCGUGAGAUGUUAGGUUAAGUCCUAAAACGAGCGCAACCCUUGUCGUUAGUUACCAGCACGUUAUGGUGGGGACUUUAGCGAGACUGCCAAUGAAAAAAUUGGAGGAAGGUGAGGAUUACGUCAAAUCAUCAUGCCCCUUAUGAUCUGGGCUACAAACGUGAUACAAUGGCUAUUACAAAGAGCAGCUGAAACGUGAGUUGUUAGCUAAUCUCAAAAAAAUAGUCUCAGUUCGGAUUGAAGUCUGCAACUCGACUUCAUGAAGUUGGAAUCGCUAGUAAUCGCGAAUCAGCAUGUCGCGGUGAAUACGUUCUCGGGGUUUGUACACACCGCCCGUCAAACCAUGAAAGUUGACAAUACCCAAAACCAGUCGCUUAACUACUUCGGUAGAGGGAGCUGUCUAAGGUAGGGUCGAUGAUUGGGGUUAAGUCGUAACAAGGUAUCCCUACCGGAAGGUGGGGAUGGAUCACCUCCUUUCUAAGGAAAUGUCGUAUCAUGAUCAUCUUCAGUUUUGAAAGACUUAGAGUAGAUAAGUUUUUCUUUUGGCGUAGAGGAAGGGCCUAUAGCUCAGUUGGUAGAGCACACGCUUGAUAAGCGUGCGGUCAAUGGUUCAAGUCCAUUUAGGCCCACCAUACCCAUUC